AUCGCUUCUCAGCCUUUUGGCUAAGAUCAAGUGUAGUAUCUGUUCUUAUCAGUUUAAAACUGAAAAAUUAUGAGAACAAUGGGAAAAGCUGUUUACAAGUUUAAAGGUAGUAUCUAAA
rnacentral:snRNA from 1 species